rnacentral:rRNA from 1 species
CUACACGACCGUACCGCAAACCGACACUGGUGCGCGAGAUGAGUAUUCUAAGGCGCUUGAGAGAACUCAGGAGAAGGAACUCGGCAAAUUGACACCGUAACUUCGGAAGAAGGUGUGCCUUUAGUAGGUGAACCUGUACAAGGGGAGCCCAAUGAGGUUGCAAAAAAUCGGUGGCUGCGACUGUUUAAUAAAAACACAGCACUCUGCAAACACGAAAGUGGACGUAUAGGGUGUGACGCCUGCCCGGUGCUGGAAGAUUAAAUGAUGGGGUGCAAGCUCUUGAUUGAAGUCCCAGUAAACGGCGGCCGUAACGAUAACGGUCCUAAGGUAGCGAAAUUCCUUGUCGGGUAAGUUCCGACCUGCACGAAUGGCGUAACGAUGGCCACACUGUCUCCUCCUGAGACUCAGCGAAGUUGAAAUGUUUGUGAUGAUGCAAUCUCCCCGCGGAAAGACGGAAAGACCCCAUGAACCUUUACUGUAGCUUUGUAUUGGACUUUGAACAGAUCUGUGUAGGAUAGGUGGGAGGCUUUGAAGUGUGGUCGCUAGAUCGCAUGGAGCCAACGUUGAAAUACCACCCUGGUGUGUUUGAGGUUCUAACCUAGGCCCGUAAUCCGGGUCGGGGACAGUGCAUGGUAGGCAGUUUGACUGGGGCGGUCUCCUCCCAAAGCGUAACGGAGGAGUUCGAAGGUACGCUAGGUACGGUCGGACAUCGUGCUAAUAGUGCAAUGGCAUAAGCGUGCUUAACUGCGAGACUGACAAGUCGAGCAGAUGCGAAAGCAGGACAUAGUGAUCCGGUGGUUCUGUAUGGAAGGGCCAUCGCUCAACGGAUAAAAGGUACUCUGGGGAUAACAGGCUGAUACCGCCCAAGAGUUCAUAUCGACGGCGGUGUUUGGCACCUCGAUGUCGGCUCAUCUCAUCCUGGGGCUGUAGCCGGUCCCAAGGGUAUGGCUGUUCCCAUUUAAAGAGGUACGUGAGCUGGGUUUAAAACGUCGUGAGACAGUUUGGUCCCUAUCUUCCGUGGGCGCUGCAGAUUUGAGGAAGCCUGCUCCUAGUACGAGAGGACCGGAGUGGACACACCUCUGGUGUAUCGGUUGUCACGCCAGUGGCAUUGCCGAGUAGCUAUGUGUGGAAGAGAUAACCGCUGAAAGCAUCUAAGCGGGAAACUCGUUUCAAGAUGAGAUCUGCCGGGGCCUUGAGCCCCCUAAAAAGUCGUUCAAGACCAGGACGUUGAUAGGUCGGGUGUGGAAGCGCAGUAAUGCGUUAAGCUAACCGAUACUAAUUGCUCGUGCGGCUUGACC